CCCUUCGGGGACAAAGUGACAGGUGGUGCAUGGUUGUCGUCAGCUCGUGUCGUGAGAUGUUGGGUUAAGUCCCGCAACGAGCGCAACCCUUGAUUUUAGUUGCCAGCAUUUAGUUGGGCACUCUAAAGUGACUGCCGGUGCAAGCCGGAGGAAGGUGGGGAUGACGUCAAAUCAUCAUGCCCCUUAUGACCUGGGCUACACACGUGCUACAAUGGAUAGUACAAAGGGUCGCGAAGCCGCGAGGUGGAGCUAAUCCCAU
rnacentral:rRNA from 1 species